rnacentral:rRNA from 1 species
UACGGAGGGUGCGAGCGUUGUCCGGAAUCACUGGGCGUAAAGGGCGCGUAGGCGGCCGUGUAAGUCACUUGUGAAAUCCCGGGGCUCAACUCCGGGGCCGCAGGUGAGACUGCGUGGCUAGAGCACGGUAGAGGCGAGUGGAAUUCCCGGUGUAGCGGUGGAAUGCGUAGAGAUCCGGAAGAACACCGGUGGCGAAGGCGGCCCGCUGGGCAACUGCUGACACUGAGGCGCGACAGCGUGGGGAGCAAACAGG